rnacentral:rRNA from 1 species
CCUACGGGAGGCUGCAGUAGGGAAUAUUGCUCAAUGGGGGAAACCCUGAAGCAGCAACGCCGCGUGGAGGAUGAAGGUUUUCGGAUUGAUAACUCCUUUUUGUAGGGAAGAUAAUGACGGUAUCUGACGAAUAAGCACCGGCUAACUCCGUGCCAGCAGCCGCGGUAAUACGGAGGGUGCAAGCGUUACUCGGAAUCACUGGGCGUAAAGAGCGCGUAGGCGGGAUAGCAAGUCAGAUGUGAAAUCCUAUGGCUUAACCAUAGAACUGCAUUUGAAACUGUUAUUCUAGAGUAUGGGAGAGGUAGGUGGAAUGCUUGGUGUAGGGGUAAAAUCCGUAGAGAUCAAGAGGAAUACUGAUUGCGAAGGCGACCUGCUAGAACAUAACUGACGCUGAUGCGCGAAAGCGUGGGGAGCAAACAGGAUUAGAUACCCUUGUAGUC